ensembl:lncRNA
GAUUUGACAAUUGUCUUAAUUUUUUCCUCAUGGUUUUACAGCCUAAAUCAAACCAUUUCUCAUUUUCUUGUGUUGUUUUAUGGAUUUUCUUAGAGAAUGUGAGGUUAGAUAAAUUGGCCAAAUAUUUAAAUAUAUAAUUUAUGUUCUCCACAGCCAGAUGGACACCAUCUCGAUUGUGAGGAUAAAUUCUGCCUUAAAAAAUUGUCUAUAAGUGGACACACUUUUGGAUGGCCAAUUGCUGUCACAUAUUUUUCUGUGCUGUUUUGUGCCCAUCUGUAAUUCUCUCUAAUGUUGUACAGCUUACUGGGCUGUUAAUGUAUGUCCGUAUUUGUUGUCCUCUUUUGGUAAACAGUAACUUGACUGUGGUCUGAUAGGGGUGUUAGUGGUUUGACUGUGAAUGCUCUGAAAGAGAAUGGAUCUAAAUCUAUAAAAGUCAUGUUGACUUUCCACAAAUACUCAUUCUACAAUUGAGCCCCUUCCGACAUGACCACCGUCGAGUAAGAAUUCCUGCAAAAACUGAGGUUUACUUCCAACAAUAUGAGCUUUAUGCCAUAAUAAACCUUUAUGGAUCACUGAAAGAUGGACACUAUAAUACUAACAUCAAAUCUGACAAUCAGAACUGGUAUCGAUGUAAUGACAGCCAUGUAUUUCAGAUUCCUGACCUGAUGUUUUCAGAACGUAAGGAUAUAUUGUGGAAGAUUCAAGAGUUUUUUUGGUCUUCAUCUUCAGAUUCAUGCCAUUCACACUCACACAGCUCUGCCUAUCUACUCUUUUACAAAAAGUGUGAAAAAGUGUAAAAGUGUAAAAAGGGAUUGACUGAAUCAGUAAAAAGACACAGAGCAGAAUAUCAUCAUUUAGGGUGAAAAAUGCUAUAUAAGCAGAAUUUAACCAGGCUCAAAGGCUUCCAGUAAAUGACUGUGAAUGUAUUUAUAAAUCUCUCUGCUCAACAGCUGAUGAAUUGAAACAGGUGCGUCACAAACAUAUAUAAGUGUCGUGCUGUUGUCAGGAUUAAGAAGGACUGGUCUGCUUAAUGUAUAUGCUUCGAAGACAAUUUUCAGUUUGAAUAUUGAUGUCAUUUAUUUUCGUGCAUGUAGUAAGACAUAUUUUAUAGGCAUCGUAUUAAUCAAACUAUAUAAUGAUUAAGUGUUAAUAAGAGAAGUCCCAUUAUCUGCUACUAAGUAUGUAGAAUUAUUAUCAAUUACACUGCUGUAAAAGGAUGUAGUUUGGAAUAAUAUGUAUUCAUGUAAAGGAGUAUUCAUUUUUAUUAUAUCAAAAAUGAAAUAUGUCACAUAAAUAUAUUUGUGUUACAUAAAAUAACCGGACACCUACAUUAACUGUCAUCUGUUUAAGGAAAUAUAAGUCCGUAUUAUACCAAUAUACUAAUACUGAUACUGAUAAUGAGUCAUUGUUUUUCUUA